rnacentral:tRNA from 1 species
GGGUCGUAGUUCAAUCUGGUUAGAGCGCCGGCCUGUCACGCCGGAGGUUGCGAGUUCGAGUCUCGUCGACCC